UUUUCCGCAAUGGGCGCAAGCCUGACGGAGCAACGCCGCGUGAGGGAUGAAGGUUUUCGGAUCGUAAACCUCUGUCUUCAGGGACGAUAAUGACGGUACCUGAGGAGGAAGCCACGGCUAACUACGUGCCAGCAGCCGCGGUAAUACGUAGGUGGCGAGCGUUGUCCGGAAUUACUGGGCGUAAAGAGCGUAUAGGCGGCCUUUUAAGUCAGAUGUGAAAUCUCAGGGCUUAACCCUGAAACUGCAUUUGAAACUGGAGGGCUUGAGGAUCGGAGAGGGCAGUGGAAUUCCCAGUGUAGCGGUGAAAUGCGUAGAUAUUGGGAGGAACACCAGUGGCGAAGGCGACUGCCUGGACGACACCUGACGCUGAGGCGCGAAAGCUAGGGGAGCGAACGGG
rnacentral:rRNA from 1 species